rnacentral:rRNA from 1 species
UACGAAGGGGGCUAGCGUUGCUCGGAAUCACUGGGCGUAAAGGGUGCGUAGGCGGGUCUUUAAGUCAGGGGUGAAAUCCUGGAGCUCAACUCCAGAACUGCCUUUGAUACUGAAGAUCUUGAGUCCGGGAGAGGUGAGUGGAACUGCGAGUGUAGAGGUGAAAUUCGUAGAUAUUCGCAAGAACACCAGUGGCGAAGGCGGACUCACUGG